UACAUACAUACAUACAUACAUAAAUAAAAACACACACAAACACGAAUAUACAUACAUACAUACAUACAUACAUAGGUACAAGUCUUUCUUUUCUCUUAAAAGAAUUCUUGACGCUCAUUAAACCGGCAUCGGUGGAACGCGAGACGCGCGCGAUUUUCUCAAUGAGAUCGUAUCGUCAGGCUGGAUGAAUGAAGGUUUCAUCGGGAAAAAGCGGCAUCCGCGACGAGAAACGCGUUCUUUAGUACGUGUAUCUGCUUGCAUACAGGGUGAUUAAGUUGAAACAUUUAAUAUGAACUCGUGAAUACGUCUAAUUUUCAACUUAGAAAUUUAUAUUAUUAUAAUGGAUGUUGAUGGACCAUUUCGGAAACACCCUGUAUACCUGUUUAUACGUACAUAUAUACAACGUUGGAGCGACAUCGACGUUCGAGGCCAAAGGGAAAAAAGAAAGAAAAACUUGGAGCUGUACGGAAUGCGCCGUGGUACCGCGGAUUCAACGACGGCUCAUUCAAUCGUCAAGGAAGAACGUCGUUGUAGCUCGUUUACUUGUACCCUACUGAGAGAGAAAUAAAGAAAGAAAGAAACGAAAGAAACGAAAGAAACGAAAGAAAGAAAGAGAAAGAGAAAGAGUUAGAGAAAGAGAGAGAGAGAGAGAGAGAGAGAGGAAGAGAGAGAAAGAGAGAGAGAGAGAGAGGAAGAGAGAGAACAUACCAAGAGAUGGAAAAAGAUAGAACAUUCGCGUAUACAUAGCUGACUAUUAUUUUCAAACUCCAAUGUAAAGUCAUUGUCCCAUGCGUUAAUAAAUCGAUCAUUCAAGUUGAUAAGAUCGCCGACAUUAAUUACGGACAGGGUUGAGAUUAAAUAAGACUAUGGUAUACGUAGUAGAACGAUGAAGAUAUAUCUUUGAUGUAAUUAUGCAGAAAAACGUAUACGGGAAAACUUGUCGAUGCGGUACGAAUCCGAGGUGCUUGCAUUCUUUCUACAUUGGAAUCGACCACCCGUUGAGGUGAAAAGGGAAGAUUCCUAGGAUCCCGUCGUGCCGAUAUAACAACUAGUAAUUUCGAUUUCGCGAAAGAGAAACGAAUAAGCAUUUAUUUAUAUAUAUAUAUAGUUAAAUGAAAUACUAAGGGAAAAUUAUUUUUCUUCCUAUUUUACCUCAUUCUUAUUCCUUUUCAUAAUUCUUAACUCCGUCUCGUAUCCGAUAUUUUACGCGUAGUCUCUGAACGAACGAGAUAAGAGUACAGAGGUAAGAAAGACAGUGAGAGAGAAAGAGAAAGAAAGAGAGAGAGAGAGAAAGAGAGAGAGAAAGAGAUUGGAUGUCCGACCAUCGUCGUCUCUCUCCCCAGCUUAUUUCUAGACGACGAAAUCGCACGAAACGGACAAGCGACGUUUCCAUAGACGAACGACAUGGAAAUCCACGAUGUCGAGAUCGCUUUGCGGUAGGUCGCCGCGUUUAACAUCCAGCUCUCCGGUACUGAAUAAAGAUCUACGUAGGUGUGUCACUUCGUGCGGAAUAAAAGGCCGGCAACUGCCGUUGCGACGCACAUACGGCGUAUGUAUACAGACGACGCGAGGACAGAAACACGAACGUACUUAUAUACAUGACUUGGUAGAUGCAAGGCCCUUUCGUAAGGAGAUUUGCCUUUACGCAAUUGAGGCGACAACACCCGGACGCGAGACUCCAGAAACCGGCUACACUUUCCGACCGAAUUACCAACGUCUCGCGAAUAAACGUCUCGAGUGAGAUAAAAAAAUUUUAAAAAUCAAAGAGAGAGAGAGAGAGAGAGAGAGAGGGAAAGAGAGAAAAAAUGGGGAGGUAAUUGGCUAUCUCCCUUGCAACUUUGCAACUAAUCAUUCCCGCUUGGGGUAGUUAGGUAACUUUGUAGACAGGUAAAUAGUUAUACAUAACUAUAUGAUGUAUAAGAAAAAAGAAACGGAUCAUGUAUUGAUCUAAAGAUAAAAGUUUAAAGGGUUCAGAGAUUUCAGAUAACGAUAGAAGGAAUAUAGGAUGAUUAUGAGGGAGCAUGUUUUAAAUCAAACGAUAAAUAUGGUAUAUCCAAGGAUAAUCAGUUUUCCUCGUAAAGAUUCUCCUCAAUCUCGUUUAUCAGUUAUGGCAGACUAAAAAAUGUUUAUCAUGAAAGGUGAUUCAUGAUCGUUAGAGAGAUUUAAAAGAAUAUCGUUCUUUUUGGUAUCCUCGCAAAGAAAGUUAUCGAUACAAAAAUAUAAUCGAACAAGUGUUGAAGAUAUGUAACCCGAAUAUAAGAACAAUCACAGUUCGUUUGAAACUUAUCUUCUGGAAUAUGGACGUGUUUUAAACUUUAACAUGUGGAUAUUGAUUAAUACCGACAACGAAUAAGAAAGAAAAAAAAAAUACACUUUGUUAGGUAUGCGUUGUCUUUCGACGUAAGGGACCAUAAACUAAGUAUGUGCAAAUUCUUUGAAAACUCUCAACGUUUUUCAAAUGAUUGGACGAACUUUUCUUUUUCUUUUUCUUCAUUCGAUCAACGGCCAUUGUCUCGGAACGGCCUACUUUAAUCAUUUCGUUAAACGUUGUCGAGUAUAUAUAUAUUAUAUGUAUAUGUAUUGGGUUGUCCGGAAAGUUCGUGCCGAUUUUGAAGGAAAAUUAAAACGCAGCAUUUAAAUUUUGGUAUACAUUUAUUAAAUUAUAUAGAUAUUAUUCUGUUCCAUAAACUUUCUCUAUCUUUCAGGCAAUUUAAAAAUUCCAUCCUUUCAGAAUCUUUCAGGUUUUUCGGUGAAAAACUUUUCUAUAUGAUUUUUUAUCUUGACUAAAGAGUUGAUAUUUUUUCCAUUAAGGGCACUUUGUAAUAAUCGAAGUAGGUGGAAAUCUGAAGGUCUGGUGAAUAUAGUGGAUGGGGUAGAACAUCCCAACCGACCUCUAACAAUUUUUGUCGAGUUGUCAAAAAUACAUGGGGCCGUCUAUUAUCCUGAUGAAAUACAAUGCCCUUCCAAUUCGCGUUUCUAGACGUUUAUGUUCAAUUGCUGUCUUUAAUUCGUUUAAUUGGGAAGAAUAUUUUUCUGAAUUUAUCGUCUCGUUGUUUGAUAAAAUACAGGAUUCCUUUUCAAUCCUUCCAAACAUUACUCCAAUUCUUCCAAACAGAGCAUGACCUCCUUGGUUCAUUCCGCUUUCCCCAAGACCUUUUUCGCUCAACAUUAUUAUAAGUGAUCCAUUUUUCAUUCACUGUUAUUACUUGCUUCAAAAAUGGUGUCUUCUCAUUGCAUUUAUAGAACGAAUCGCAAAUGAAAAAGCGAUUCAUCAGAUUUUUUUCUAAAAAAUCGUCGAGAACCUAUACAUCAAAACGAUUUAUGUAGCGAAGCUUCAUAUGUAUGGUGGAAGCUCAUGGAUGGUGGAUUUUGAUAUUUUUAACAUUUCUGUUAAUUUACGUGUCGUAUAGCGUGGGUUAUUCUCGAUUAGUGUUUUAAUCUGAUCUUCAACUAUGGUGGAAGAUUUACCCGGACGUUCUUGAUCUUCAAAGUUGAAAUCAUCAGCUUUAAACCUAGCAAACCACUUCCGCACAGUUCUUUCAAGUACAGCAUCUUACCAUUAACAGCGCAUAUCUUAUUUGCCGCUUGUGUGGCAUUUUUGCCUUUCCGAUAAAAGAAAAGCAUUAAAUGUGUAUAAUGUACUUUGUUUGCUUCCAUAUUCAAAGGCGUAUAAAACAGACAAAAAUUAAAAUAUCGUAACCAAAACUUUUUCCAAAUAUGCCUAAAGUACCACCUUUUGAAAUAUGUACGCAUAUCAUUUGUUUUCAAUCAUUCUGAUAUAUUUAGACCUGUCCUUAUGCCACCUACCGAAAAUAGGUAUGAACUUUUUGGACAACUCAAUAUGUAUAUAUUUAUACAUGUAUGCGCUUAACUGGUUUUGAUACUCUUCGAACGUCUCUUCAAUAAGGGACAACGAUUGGCUCGUAAAACUAAUUAAGCCGUUGGCUAUUAUCAUUCUCUUUUUUUUUAAUCCGCUCACAUUCGCAUAACAUUUUUUUUAAUCAACACAUCUUGAUAAUUAAGACUUGAUCAUUGCGACAUUCCUCGACGAGGAUCCGUUUCUUUUUCUUCUUUUCUUUUUCGGUUUGAUUUUAAUCUGCUUAGAGAUUUGCACGUUUAAUGAAAAAAAUAAAAAUUCAUAAAGAAUAAUUUUUCUUUUUGUCACAACCAGAUUCCCCAGCGAUUAAUGUCAUUUAAUAAUUCUCAAUAAUUUUCGAAGGAAGAUAAAGAUAAAUAUUAUAGAAAAAAUAAAUAAAUAAAUAAAAAUUUAAGAGUGAUGUUAUUCAUUAACAAUGACAUCAAUGUUCUGUAUUAAUCAACGUCUACGUUUUACUUCGUUGAGAAGAAAAAAGAAAAUGAAAGGAAAGAAAUAAGUGGUGUAUCCCUGGGACUCGUAACGAUAACGAGACGAAGACUGUCGAUCCAGUUGUCUCACAUCGACGUGGGCCAUUUAAUUAACGUCGAUCCUUCUCUUGAAUCGAUGUAAUCCCAUGAGGAGAAGGAAUCAUUCGGUAUAAGUAAAACAAGUAAGAACGAUGUAUCGCUUAAGACUUCGUUUUUAUAUUUACAUACAUUUCCUUAAUCAUGUUUUAAACUUCUCGAUGAUCAUGAUAAUCGAAUAUACAACGAUACAAUUAAAAAUCGCUAUUGAUUACAAUUUUAUUUCGAUUAAUAAGAAAAUAAGAAUGAUUAAUUUGAUAAAUAUUUAAUUAUAGACUUAAAAUCUAAAAAAUGUAUUUAUUUAUUUAUUUAUAUAAGACGAUAAAGAAUGAUUUAUUUUAUUUAUAUUGAUUAAAUAUAUCAGUAUUAAAUAUUCCAUUACAACGAGAGAUAAAUAUGAAUGAAAAUAGGACAAAUCGAUCGACCGAGAGAAUGAAAUUUUUCAAUGAAAUUUAGUAUAAUAAUCACGACGUUAAUUAGUAUGUUAAUUGAAGUAGACGCUUUCUUUUUCUGGAAAGUGUGCCAGCGACGUAUACUCAUGUACUUACGUACGUAUUCGAGAUAUCUCCUCUAUCGAGUUCGUUUGUGAUCAAUUAAAAUUAACCUCAUGGCUGACUUUAUCACCGUUCUUGAGAAGCAUAACGUAUUCGUAAAAUAAAAUGCAUAUGUAUCGUAAACAUCCGUUAAUAUUACCAUAAGGAAAAAUUUCUUUUUUCUAACGAGACGUCGUUACUUUGAAAGUUCUUAAAAAAGAAAAAAAGAAGAUGUAGAAAGAAAAUUGACAUUAGAUGCAAAGGGCCCGGUUCUACUCUUUCUCUCUACUGGAAUUCUUUCGAAUUCAUGUAUAUAAAAAUGUAGAAUAUAGAAUCCACGGGUGAUUAUCAUAAACAUACAAAUACGAAGUGUCCCAUUUCUAUCUAAGUGUAAAAAUCGCUAUCUCUUAAAAAUCGCUGUUCAAAUGCUCUAAAAGAAAAAGAGACUCGACAUGUAUAAAUUUUCUUAACAGUUCUUAUUUGUACAAAACAUCGCACAAUGAUGGAGAAUUAACUAAUUAUAAUGCAAGAAUCGAUAUAUUUCGUAGAGAUUCAUGAUCGUUUAGAAUAAUUUCAAACGUAACAACAACGAAGACAUCAACUUCAUAAAACAAGAAAAAAAUAAAAACAAAAAACAAGAGUGUAAAAUUUUGUCGCGGGACAUUUAACGAGGUAUUGUAUUCCAUACGUAUACACACGUAUGUAUACAUACAUACGUAAACACACGCAUCCAUACAUAUGUGACGUAACUUUUCGUAGGAUCACCAGGAAGAACGAUACAUUUCGAGUAUGUAUAUGUAAGAUCGUUAUGAGAAGGAACGCAAAUCGUGUAGGGUCGUGUGGGCGAAUUAUAAUGAGAUGAACUAUCGACUCAGAACGUUAGUAAAAAAGAAAAAGAAAAAUUCACCUUCCACCUUAUCGUAAUCCGGGAUAACGCAUGGAAUCGAUGUUACGGUGUGUUACUUGUGCGAACAAUAGAGGUGAAAGGUAAGAUGAAUCGUGGAACUUGCUUCUUCUUCUUUCGAUAUAUCGCGAUACAUUCGUUUAUUUAGUUCCUUCCACCUCCAUUCCACCUCUUCUCUAUUCCUUUUGUCGUUUCUCGAGCGCGCUUCGUACGUACCUGAGUACUUACGAAUGUAAGUACAAUUCGAUUCUAUCUCUGUCUCUAUCUUUCCCUUCCUCCCUCUCUUUCUCUCUCUCUGCUACUUCUUUCAGCUUGCAACGAUUUAUGUUGUCGUUUUAUGACGAUCGAUAAUUCAUUAAGUUGGUAACGACAUAAAUGAAAAGUUUCAAUCGAAACUUCAUAGCUUGACAUGCUUAAUUUUUUAAUUAGAUAAUUUGUAUAAUUGGUUAAUAGAAAUGAUGAAAAUGUAAUUGAAUAAAAAUAUAAUAAGAAGAUUAAAAAUAAAAGUAUUCGUAGAUAUCUAUUUCUGUAGAUCUGAUUUUUUUUUUAAUUAUACCACGAGAAACGAAAAAGAUAUAUUUCCUUGUUAGUUUUUUUUUUAUCACAAUUAUCACAAUUGCCGCACACUUUUAAUUUGAUGAUCGUAAUCAGAAACACAUUUUUUUUCAAUUGUUUAUGACUGCCAUAUGAAAUUGAGCAUCAGUCAUCAUGUGCAAGACAGCCAUAGCUGUCAUUUGCCUACAUAUCGCCAAAAAUCUGACGGCUAUAGCCGUCAUUUGCGGCAACAUGUUAAUCGAUCUUCUUUAAAUAGCGAAUUAAUUAAUUGAUCUACAUCUCGUAGAAAAAAUGAUCGAAAGAGAAGGAUCGAUAGAGGCACGAAGUGACGCACGAAAAAUAGGAAGAAAUAAACUUGUAUGCAUUGCACAUGUAGGUCGAGAGGGGGAGAAAAAAAGAAAUAAAAGAAAAAAGAAAAAAAAGGAAUGGAAUAGGUUAUUAUAGGGAAAAGUGCAGGGCUCGAACUUCGAUAACGCUCGACAAGUCCCAAGAGAAGAUACACGAGUUGUUAUCUAUAAAUAAUAAAAUCGAUGUUGCUUCGAUACAUUACCAAACGAGUAUUACGAGAUGGCCUUGUUCGCUUUAAACGAUAAAAAAGAAGAAGAAGAAGAGAGUAGCAAUCACCUUUACUAAACUUUUCUUGAUAUUUUUCUAAAACUUUUUGAUUGAAAUUCAUUCAACAUUUGUAAGUAGAAAAUUCUUGAGUUAACUUCUUACUAAAGAAAGGAAAACAAAAUAAAUCAAAUCUUUCAAUCAUCAAAGAAAGCAUUGUACCAUUGAAUUUUAUAUUUUACGAUUCAUUCAUCCGAAACUUCCUGUAUUUCUUUUAUUUUUAAUCCAAAUAAAUUUCAUACAUUAAUUACGUUUAUACCAAUUGAAAAUCUCUUUCUCAUUCUUUCUUCCUCUUUCUCUGGUUAACGUAAAAGAAAAAGCAUUACGGAACAUUAUGUAUGAACCUUGAAACGUAGAUCAUCAUUUCGUAUUGGCAAACCGUGUCAAGUUUACCUGUUAGCCUUCUUUUUCUUUCAGUUAACAAUGAAACUUGAAAAGGAUAUCUUUCAUGCUCGCCUCCGAUAACGUUCUACGGUGACAGAAAAAAAAUAGGAAAAAAAAUCAAAGAAACGAGAGUAAAUAAGUAUAUAAAUCGUUUAACUUAUUUGUUACGCGAGACGGGCCAAGAUGAUUAUAUCAAAUGAAAUGUAUGAAAAAUAAUGAAGAUAAAUGAUAAUGACGAGUAAAACGAGUAAUACUGCCUAUAGUUUCUCUCUAUUUCUCUUUCUCUUUCUCUUUUUAUGUUUUUUGUUAUCUUAAUUACACAAAUAUCAGAACUGGUUUGUCUAUUAAUAUAUUUUCUUUGUCGCUCGGAUAAUUCAAAUUAUCCGCUUGUACCGUCCUUUGUUACGAGUUAAAACUUAUUGCAAACGAGACGAACAGUUGACAAUGAUUAAAACUACCGUUACGCGUCCGUUCAUUCUUCUAACGAAAUCUCGUUAGAGACUCUCUUUUACAUGCUCUUUUUUCUCUCCUACGCGAUAUAAAAUCGUUCGGUUAUUUUGACCGUCCUGGUAAACAUAAUACUUCCUUCCAGCUAACAAUCUCUUUCAAAUGAACGAAGGAGAAUUCGUUCUGUAAUAAGAAAAUGGGUAACACGAGAAAUACUAAUAAGAAAAGAUAGAAAAGUAGGAAGAGGAGAAGAAGAAGAAAAAGAAAAAGAAAAAUAAAAUGACGACAGUAAAGGUUUCCAAAGAAGAUUCUACUAUCUUCGUUGUAGAAAGAGAAGGAAUCUUGUAAGAAGAAAAUAUGUAAAGAACACAGAAAAUAUCCGUGGUAAAAUAUCCUUCGUACUCACGGACUAUUUGUCUCUUUACUUACCGACCAUACCCUCCCGUAAAUUCCCUCCCACGAAUACUAUAAAAUCCAUUUAUCUCCGGUAUUGUGAGAUAUAAAAGUAAAGCGUCCUCGAGCAUCGUCAAAAUUUACACUUUAAUAGGCAAACGAAUCCUUUUAUUUCGCGACAAUAAUGGUUAGGUUAAGGGAAAAGGAAAAAUAAAAAAAAAAAGAGAAAAUCAAUUACGCAUUUACCAGUCGGUAAAUAUGAACUCUGUUCAAGAAGACCCUUUUUGCAUCUUUCUCUCUUUCUCUCUCUCUCUCUUCGUCUCUCUUUUUCCCUUUGUUUCUCUCUUUCUCAUAUAAGAAACUCUCGAGUAACAACAAGGGCCACGGUAGUAGGUAGUAACUCCAAUGGUGAGUCCGUUACACCUUGUCGUGCCUUCUCGUACUACGAAAACUGCCACUGUAGACGUUCGUUGUCGCUCAUUAACGAGGCUGCUUUUUGUUACACCGAAAAGCAUGGUAAAACUUGUCGUGAGCAAACGCGGAACCGACUAUUUGUGCUCUUGGAAGGGAUCCAGAUACUGCCGCCAGAGACUGUGGAUCCAACGGUGAAAUGAUGAACAGGAUAGUACGAGAAACUAAUUAGCGCCGGCGAUUAAGCGUUUCUCGCUUCUCUCACUACUCUAUCUCCCUUUAAUUCUCCUAUAACUUUUCGUCUGUACUUGUGUUUGUCCAAGAAGUUCACUAAUGUGUAAUUGAAAGAACGUUUUGCCCUAUCUCAUUCUUUCUCUCUCUCUCUCUCUCUCUCUCUCUCUCUCUCUCUCUCUCUCUCUCCAUCAUUCUCUCAUUCUCUCAUUCUCUCAUUUUCUCUUCCUUAACUUUUGAUUUUGUAUAUUCUAUGGAUUUUGUAUAUUCUAUCAUCCGAUCAUGUAUCAUGUUUUAAAUUCAAAUAAAUCAUUAAUUGACUUCCCGAAGCGUUCCAUAGAUACAGGUAUUUGCAUAAUAUAUCGUCUAUCCUUUUCUAAAUAAAUAUCAUCAUACGUUUAUUUUUCCCUUCGUCUUUCCACGAUUUAUGAUUCUUUAUUCUACAAUCUAUAAUUCAUAUUACUCUUGGAUUCAUUUAUUUGAAAUUAAGUUCACCGAAAGUCUCGAAAAUUUCGUUGAUCAUUUAGAAAAAAAAAUAGAGAAAGAGGAAAAACAUUAAUCAUGUUCUAAAACGGAUGAGGAUCAAUAACUUCCUAAAAGAAAAAAAAUCUUCUAUAGGAAUGUGCCAAAAUGAAAGGGGAAAAGAGAGAGAAAGAAAGUUUGAGAGAUAGAGAGAUAGAGAUAGAGAAAGAGAGAGAAAGAGAGAGAAAGAGAGAGAGAGAAAGAGGGGGGAAAGAAGAAGGAAAAGAUGAAGAGAAGCACGCGUUUCCGCAUCGUCGUUGAAAGGUGGGUGUUUGUCGCCAGACAUCGUGAUUACAAGCGCUUGCCAAAGCUUUCACCCAUUGUUCCGAAUAAUUAUUCUUCUUGGAGACGUCCGUUCUAUAAAACCGUUAAUCCUACGCUCAACGACACUUAAAUCAACUACUUUUAAUCAACUUGACUUUAUGCGUUCGAAUUAUUUUUUUCGCAUUUAGAAACAGAGACUUUUAAGAUAGACAAAGAAAUAGAACUAGGACGGAGAAGGAGGGGGAGGGAGACAGAGAGAUAGAGAGGAAGAGAGAAAGAGAGAGAGAGAGAGAGAGAGAGAGAGAGAGAGAGAGAGAGAGGAUCGAGUGUACCGAACAGUAGAAGCUCGCACCAGUUUCGGUGUUAAAGGGAAAUCACUUUGCGGAAAUACGAGGCGAUAGGACGAGGUUAGUUACAACGGAUGAGACGAGUACUGAAUUGUAACUAACGAUUCUUGGAAUGACUUUCCCGUGGUUCGUUACUUGCGCGCAAUUUAAACUGCAAAUUGAUGCCGGACGCUUCUGUAAGAUCUUACGAUUAUUUUCCUAAUGUUUUGAUACGUUGGCCCCUUCUCGAAAUACGAGUAUUAUCGUGAUGGUUAUAAUGAAAAAAAAAAAAAGAAAAAACAAUGUGACAAAAAAAAAAGCAAAGUCAACAAGCAAUGAAUACAUAUAUAAUCCACCAAUGACGUUCGAAGAACGAAUUUCAUUUAACGUACUUUUUUCGAAGAUAGUAAACGAACAUGAUACAUAUAUAUUGUAUGUGUGUGUGUAUGUAUUCCAACAGAAAUUUUUCUUUCGUGUCGUUCACUUUAGAGAGAGAGAAAGAGAGAGAGAGAGAGAGAGAGAGAGAGAAGAGAGUACCGAGAGAGACCACCCUGAAUCUUGUUCCUUGGAUCCUGCGUGGUGCACGCGGAUUAUUUUGAAAGCGAGUCACGAACACGUAUAUCUGAGUGCGCCGAUACAUUGCUGCUUCUGCUGCUGGUGAAAAGAAGAAAAAGAUCUUACGAGGUCUUGCUCAGGGAGAAAAUAAAUAAAAGCCGAAAUCAUCAAAGAUGCACGACGGCGAAUCGAAAUAAAGAAUUUCGUCUCUACUCACAUUUUUCAUUCUUUCUUUCAAUCCUUUUUUUCUUUUUUUUCGUUUUCAUAAUAAAAAUUCUAUUGUUUAUGUGAUAAAUAAGAGAGUGAAUAAAUUGAAAAAUCUAUCAAUUAAUUAUUUCCACUUACAAUUACCUUGACUUUUCCUGUUCCCAGCGAUGAUCAUCGUAUAUAUACAUAACAUAUUACAUAUAGACAUUUAUGAAUAAAAUGUUUCAAGGAAGGAAACAAUAUUUAACUUGUUUCAGGUGACUCUACAGGAAGCCACAGAGAGAGAGAGAGAGAGAGAGAGAGAGAGAGAGAGAGAGAGAGAGAGAGAGAGAGAAGACAUCAUGCUGUGUCGUUACGUUUCUCUUCCCACGGCGUUUGUAAAACACCUCGUGCGUGUGCAAAAGAUAUAUAUAAACGUACAUAUAAAUAUAUAUAUACAUACAUAUAUAUAUAUAUAUAUAUAUAGUAACACACAGAUACAUAUAUGUGUAAAGAAGAAACAUGUAAAUACGUGUACGCGCGUGUAUGUAUAUAACGGACGUGAUCUCUCUCCCUCUCUCACGCGCGCGCGCGCAAAUACACUUUCGCGAACGACAAUAAGGCGUGAUAAUGCGAGCUCCGAAACGUUUAGUCAUCGCAGCACUUCAAACUGCUCAUGUGGACGAUGAACCUCGUACUUACGUCAUUUUUCUCGAGGAUUCAAUCUAGCGAGAUAAAUGUGCCCGUCUCUCUCUUUUUCUUCUCUCUUUCUCUCUUUCUCUUUCUCUUUCUCUUUCUCCUACUCUUUUUCUUUCUCUCUUACAUGAAUACGCUGAGCGUAUCAUUAUCGUAACACCGUUUCGAAGAAACUCUAUUACAUGAACUAGUUCGUAUGUUAACUUACGACAGAAUAACGUUCCGUGUUUGAGGUAGGUCAAGCGAGUCUUCCAUGUGAGCAGGAAGAAGUUCUUCUCCACGAAUGAAAAGAAUAAUGAUCGACUUACGAGUAUACCGUUCAAAGAGGAUAAAAAAGGGUAUUUUUAAAGGAAAAGUCGGAAGUUAUUCUGCUUUUCGUUAUCUGUGAAACGAAUGUAUGACGGAAAAGAAAAGGAAGGAACCAAAUAUGAGGAUAGAGAGCAGAUGGUUACUCUGAAAAUUUUCUAGGAAGACACAGACAGAGAGAGAGAGAGAGAGAGAGAGAGAGAGAGAGAAGAUUCAUUUCUUCUCAAAGUUCUUACUUCUCUUAUUUCCACGCUCUCCUUCGUAUGCGGUAGUAUUUAUAAUUUAGUGCGUGCUAUGCUGAGUUACGGCAAAGCGUAAUGAUAUUUCGACUCUCUUGGUAAAGGAACGAGAGAGAGAGAGAGAGAGAGAGAGAGAGAGAGAGAGAGAGAGAGAGAGAGAGGGAGAGAGAGAGAGAGAGAGAGAGUAUCUUGAGAUUCACGAGAACGAUAUUUUCUUCUCCGAAGUAGACUGGAGACUCUAUUUUCCGAUGUAUCUGGAGUGAAAGAUCUAAAUAUAGUGAUAGGUACGUUUUCUCUUUGCACGAAAGAAAGAUAAAUAAAAGAUCCAUUUACUUUGAUUCGAAUCACUGGAAAAUUAAGAAUGAACGAUCCAUAAUACGUAUAUAAGCAUAUAUCUAGCAAAUGGAAAUAAUAGUAAAAUAAUUGAUAGAAUGUAAUCUAUUACUCUCGACAAUGCUAUAACAAAUGUAUCAAUCUGAACGAUUUCGAAAGAGAACAUUAUGAAAAAAAAAAAAAAUACAAAAAAUACAAAAAGAAAAAAAAAUAAAGAAUAAACAAAAAAAGAAAAACAAAA